rnacentral:rRNA from 1 species
AUUGAACGCUGGCGGCAGGCCUAACACAUGCAAGUCGAGCGGAUGACGGGAGCUUGCUCCUUGAUUCAGCGGCGGACGGGGGAGUAAUGCCUAGGAAUCUGCCGGGUAGUGGGGGACAACGUUUCGAAAGGAACGGUAAUACCGCAUACGUCCUACGGGAGAAAGCAGGGGACCUUCGGGCCUUGCGCUAUCAGAUGAGCCUAGGUCGGAUUAGCUAGUUGGUGGGGUAAUGGCUCACCAAGGCGACGAUCCGUAACUGGUCUGAGAGGAUGAUCAGUCACACUGGAACUGAGACACGGUCCAGACUCCUACGGGAGGCAGCAGUGGGGAAUAUUGGACAAUGGGCGAAAGCCUGAUCCAGCCAUGCCGCGUGUGUGAAGAAGGUCUUCGGAUUGUAAAGCACUUUAAGUUGGGAGGAAGGGCAGUAAGCUAAUACCUUGCUGUUUUGACGUUACCGACAGAAUAAGCACCGGCUAACUCUGUGCCAGCCGCCGCCGUAA